GACGAACGCUGGCGGCGUGCUUAACACAUGCAAGUCGAACGGAAAGGCCCUGCUUUUGUUGGGUGCUCGUGUGGCGAAAAGGUGAGUAUCACGUGUGUAACCUGCCCUUUACUUUGGGAUAACUUCAGGAAACUGGGGCUAAUACCCGGUAUAAGCUCCUGCUGCCUGUUUGGGUUUGUAAAAUUUCGGCGGUUGGGGAUUGAAUCGCGGCUUAUCAGCUUAUUGGUGGGUUAGUGGCUUACCAAGUCUUCGACGGGUAGCCGGCCUGAGGGGGUGACCGGCCACAUUGGGACUGAGAGACGGCCCAGACUCCUACGGGAGGCAGCAGUGGGGAAUAUUGCACAAUGGGCGGAAGCCUGAGGCAGCAACGCCGCGUGCGGGAUGACGGCCUUCGGGUUGUAAACCGCUUUCGCCGGUGACGAAGCGUGAGUGAAGGUAAUGGGUAAAGAAGCACAGGCUAACUACGUG
rnacentral:rRNA from 1 species